UGUUAUUGUGUGGUGUGUAUCUAUCCUCCCUGAACUGAAGCAUCACUUUGUGGAGGGAGGAGGAAGGCUCAGGAAGCUAACGAGAGUCCCAAGGCUCUUUAGGCUCUUCCCUGAGAUUUUAAAAUCAGCACAGUUGCUAAGCAGAGAGAACUCAACAGAGCUGCCUGCAAGUGGGUCAGGGAUGUCUGGGGAUGCAGCCUUUGUGAGGCAUCACCAUGUACCCAGUAGGCCUUUUAGCAGAUGUGGCUACCUUGGUACAUGCUCAUAGGCUCAGUAAAUAGUUCACCAGGCUUGACUAGAAUGGAGUCAUCUCUUCAUUCUGUCUGGGAGGUCAGAGGAAAAGUUGCAGGAGACUUUAUCUCUUUACACUAUGCGGAUCCAGGUGACUGAAUCAGUUCCUGGGGCUGAGUAGUAGGUGCCAUAUCUACAGAACCAUUUUGCUAGUCCAAAGAGACCUUAUUUUUUGCGUCUUAUUUUCCUACUUGUGAUAGCUAGCUCUCUGUGUGAAUGAGGCUUUGGCGCACACAAUAAAAAGUAGAAUGCUUCUAUAUCUAUUAUUAUCUCCAGAUUACAGUCAUAUUUGGUUUUAUUUUAGAAUAAUUUUGUUGGUGACAUUGGGGGCUUAGAUGCAGGGCCCCAGGCAUGCUAAGCACGUGGCCUACACCACUGCUACCUACAGUCUCACAGACACAUUUGAAAGGAGUUUUCUUGUAUAUGAGGAUGUACAAAGAGGAAACUGAGAAAACUAUUUCCAAGUUAAUCUGAGGUGCAAAACCGUGUUUGUUACCUAAUGAUGCUCACAAACUGAGAUACGGUGGCUAUAUUUGUGAAGGCUGAUCGUUAUGCUAAAAAGUUGGGAAAUGAUGUAAAGCCUUACUAGAUGACACUGGAUUUCAUGUAAUUAUGUAAGGUCUCCUCUUCCAGGUAAUCCUGCACAUGGUUCUCCAUGUAUGAUGGCCCAAUUUAAAGUUUUCAACCUGACUCUGGUUUGUAAGAGAUAGGCAUUCCGUAGAAAUUGUACUUUGAACUUCGAGUUUUGGUCUUUCCCCAGGUUACCCAGAUGUAGUUCUCUUCUCUCCUGCUAUGAUGGACAGCCACAGGGAGUCAGGGGCUGCCAGCCUGUUUGUCCUAUGAACUGAACUAUGGACCUUGCACAGAAAUGUGCUGUUUUAUCCUACAUUUAUUACAAAGAGUCUCACAAAAAGAAAAUAUCUCAAAAAGGGUGCCAGGCUAACAACCUCUACCUGAAGAACUGGGGGAAGACGGGGCAAUGGAAGUUUUUCUGCUUGCCCAAGACCAGUGGGACGAUAUAGACAGAACCAAUCUAAAAAUGGCUGGUAUUAUCCAAGCCUGAAAACCGGUCAUGGAACACUGAGUCACCCCCUUUUAGAAAGCAUAAUCAGGGCCUCUUGACAGACCUGCUAAGUAGGCUUGGCAGUUCAGGUUUUUGUCUUCUGGAAGUUUUCUUUCCACUUACAAUAUCAAUGUCAACAUCUAGCACCCUCUUCUGAUACUUUAGCAGCUCUAGGAUGGUGAAGAGGAUAUCGUUGGCAUAACAGAAGCCUGAUGCUUCAGACUUCUUUGCAUGGUGCAGGCCCCCAGCCCAGUUCACAGCGAUGUUUGUCUGCUGAUUAUUGAGUUUCACAGCACUUGUGACAGAGCCACCCACGGACAACUGAUGGAACUCAAACAAGUCCUCAAAUACUGGCCAGUCUUCCUCACCAGUGAUGAAUCUCUGCAUCUGCUUUCUGUAUUUAGACAUAUUAUCUGGGCGAAUAGAACACAAGAAUUUAAUGUAGUCAUCACUGUGGGACUUGGUCAUCUCCUCAGCAUUGGCUUUGUGAGAAUGAGAGAUUUCCCUUUUUUUCCCUUUUUUUUUUUUUUUUGGUGAAGAUGUAGUUGAGCAGCAAAUUAUGAGUUAUGUGGAUUUGGUGAGGCGUCAUUGGGUGCCCUGCUCACAAUAGUAGUUUCCAACAUCUUGUAAUAGUAGUAGUAAUAGAAAAUCCCAUGGCGGAAGAGAGUGCAGACCAUCCUGAGACCGCAGGACAGACUGCCACUUCUGCCCACCUCUGCCCAUAUCCCUCGUGUAAGAGGACACUGCAUAGUGCCUCUGGACAUGGGAAUAUAGAAACAGUCAGCUCCAUGUUCUCCUGGCUGCCUCUUCUCCCUCUUCCCAUUUGUCAAAAGGUUUUAGAGGGAGGAGGAGAUAGAGCCAGGCGGAGAAGCCUCAGAGAGAACAUGGAGGCUGAUAUUAAGAUUCCUCUCUGAUGAGGGUGAGAGCUGAACCCUCAGAAGUGUGGACACUCCUGAGAAGUCAGAGGAGGCUACCCUCUGCUCACAUUCCAGACCCAAGAGGGAAUCUCCUAGUGCCAACUUUGCCCUCUGGGUGCAAGGACCUACAAGCAUUCAGGGGCAGGACCCUUUGAUUCCUGCCCGCGCCUAGAGCUGGACGACAGUCUCCAGGAGCACCCUACACACCUGAGAGCAGAGGUAAGAUCCACUUUUCUGCUACCAAGUGACCUGCCUGGUGGAUUCAGAACAUACAGAGACAGAAGUCCUCUGGAUCAGGGCACUUCCUGUUUCUGACUCUGCCCAGAAGUGAACUGAUAGCAUCCCACACUUCCCUGCACCCAAAUCCUGUGGGGAAGAGAGCUGAACACCCAGGAGUGCAGACAUCCUGAGACCACAGGACAGACUGCCACUUCUGCACACCUCUGCCUGCAUCCCUAGUCCAAGGGAAAACAGCGUAGUGCCUCUGGACACAGAGAUAUAAGAACAGUCAGCCGCUGGUACCCAUGGUUCUGGUCUGCACCCAGGACAGAACUGAACUGGCCAAACAGCUCUCUGCACCCAAUGUGGACACUCCUGAGAAGUCAGAGGAGACUACCCUCUGCCCACAUUCUAGACCCAAGAGGGAAUCGCCUAGUGCCAACUUUGCCCUCUCAGAAGAUGGAAAGAUCUCUCAUGCGCAUGGAUUGGCAGGAUUAAUAUAGUAAAGAUGACCAUUUUGCCAAAAGCAAUCUACAGAUUCAAUGCAAUCCCUACCAAAAUUCCUACUCAAUUCUUUAUAGAGAAAGAAAGAGCAUUUUGCAAAUUCAUUUGAAAUAACAAAAAACCCAGGAUAGCGAAAACUAUACUCAACAAUAAAAGAACUUCUGAGGGAAUCACCAUCCCCUGACUUCAAGCAGUAUUACAGAGCAAUAUUCAUAAAAACUAUAUGGUAUUGGUACAGAGACAGGCAGAUCAGUGGAACAGAAUUGAAGACCCAGAAAUGUACCCACACACCUAUGGUCACUUGAUCUUUGACAAAGGAGCUAAAAUCAUCCAAUGGAAGAAAGAUAGCAUUUUCAGCAAAUGGUGCUGGUUCAACUGGAGGUCAGCAUGUAGAAGAAUGCAGAUUGGAUUCAUUCUUAUCACCCUGUACAAAGUUUAAGUCCAAGUGGAUCAAGGACCUCCACAUCAAACUAGAUACACUCAGACUAAUAGAAGAAAAAGUGGGCACUGGGGAAAAUUUCCUGAACAAAAACACCAAUGGCUCAUGCUCUAAGAUCAAGAAUUGACAAAUGGGACCUCAUAAGACUGAAAAGCCUCUGUAAGGCAAAAGACACUGUCAUUAGAACAAAACAGCAACCAACAGAUUGGGAAAAGAUCUUUACCAAUCCUACAACUGAUAGAGGGCUAAUAUCCAAAAUAUACAAAGAACUCAAGAAGUUAGACUCCAGAGAGCCAAAUAACCCUAUUAAAAAUGGGGUACAGAGUUAAACAAAACAUUCUCAGCUGAGGAAUAUCGAAUGGCCAAAAAGCACCUAAAGAAAUGUUCAACAUCUUUAGUCAUUAGGGAAAUGCAAAUCAAAACAACCCUGAGAUUCCACCUCACACCAGUGAGAAUGGCUAAGAUCAAAAACUCAGGUGAUAGCAAGCAGAUGCUGGCGAGGAUGUGGAGAAAGAGGAACACUCCUCCAUUGUUGGUGGGAUUGCAGACUGGUAAAACCAUUCUGGAAAUCAGUCUGGAGGUUCCUCAGAAAAUUGGACAUUGAACUGCCUGAGGAUCCAGCUAUACCUCUCUUGGGCAUAUACCCAAAAGAUGCCUCAACAUAUAAAAGAGACACGUGCUCCACUAUGUUCAUCGCAGCCUUAUUUAUAAUAGCCAGAAAAUGGAAAGAACCCAGAUGCCCUUCAACAGAGGAAUGGAUACAGAAAAUGUGGUACAUCUACACAAUGGAAUACUACUCAGCUAUAAAAAACGAGUUUAUGAAAUUCGUAGGCAAAUGGUUGGAACUGGAAAAUAUCAUCCUGAGUGAACUAACCCAAUCACAGAAAGACAUACAUAGUAUGCACUCAUUGAUAAGUGGCUAUUAGCCCAAAUGAUUGAAUUACCCUAGAUCCCUAGAACAAACGAAACUCAAGACGGAUGAUCAAAAUGUGAAUGCUUCACUCCUUCUUUAAAUGAGGAAAAAGAAUACCCUUGGCAGGGAAGGGAGAGGCAAAGAUUAAAACAGAGACUGAAGGAACAUCCAUUCAGAGCCUGUCCCACAUUUGGCCCAUACAUAUACAGCCACCCAAUUGGACUAGAUGGAUGAAGCAAAGAAGUGCAGACCGACAGGAGCCGGAUGUAGAUCGCUCCUGAGAGACACAGCCAGAAUACAGCAAAUACAGAGGCGAAUGCCAGCAGCAAACCACUGAACUGAGAAUAGGUCCCCUAUUGAAGGAAUCAGAGAAAGAACUGGAAGAGCUUGAAGGGGCUCGAGACCCCAAAAGUACAACAAUGCCAAGCAACCAGAGCUUCCAGGGACGAAGCCACUACCUAAAGACUACACAUGGACUGACCCUGGACUCUGACCCCAUAGGUAGCAAUGAAUAUCCUAGUAAGAGCACCAGUGGAAGGGGAAGCCCUGGGUCCUGCUAAGACUGAACCCCCAGUGAACUAGUCUAUGGGGGGAGGGCGGCAAUGGUGGGAGGGUUGGGAGGGGAACACCCAUAAGGAAGGGGAGGGGGGAGGGGGAUGUUUGCCCGGAAACCGGGAAAGGGAAUAACACUCGAAAUGUAUAUAAGAAAUACUCAAGUUAAUAAUAAAAAAAAAAUGGGGUACAGAGUUAAACAAAACAUUCUCAGCUGAGGAAUAUCGAAUGGCCAAAAAGCACCUAAAGAAAUGUUAAACAUCUUUAGUCAUUAGGGAAAUGCAAAUCAAAACAACCCUGAGAUUCCACCUCACACCAGUGAGAAUGGCUAAGAUCAAAAACUCAGGUGAUAGCAAGCAGAUGCUGGCGAGGAUGUGGAGAAAGAGGAACACUCCUCCAUUGUUGGUGGGAUUGCAGACUGGUACAAUCAUUCUGGAAAUCAGUCUGCGGGUUCCUCAGAAAAUUGGACAUUGAAUUACCUGAGGACCCAGCUAUACCUCUCUUGGGCAUAUACCCAAAAGGUGCUCCAGCAUACAACAAAGACACAAGCUCCACUGUGUUCAUAGCAGCCUUAUUUAUAAUAGCCAGAAGCUGGAAAGAACCCAGAUGCCCUUCAACAGAGGAAUGGAUACAGAAAAUGUGGUACAUCUACAUAAUGGAGUAUUACUCAGCUAUGAAAAACAAUGACUUCAUGAAAUUCAUAGGCUAAUGGAAUGAACUAGAAAAUAUCAUCCUGAGUGAGGUAAUCCAAUCACUGAAAAACACACUUGGUAUGCACUCAAUGAUAAGUGGAUAUUAGCCCAAAAGCUCGAAUUACCCAAGAUGCAAUCCACAGACCACAGGAAGCUCAAGAAGGAUAACCAAAAUGUGGAUGCUCCCACUCCUUAAAAGGGGAAAAAAUAUCCAUAGGAAGGGAAUAUGGAAGCAAAGUGACUGAAGGAAUAGCUGUUCAGAGCCUGUCCUGCAUGUGGCCCAUAUAUAUAUAUAGUCACCAAAACUAGAUAAGAUUGAUGAAGCUAAAAAAUGCAUGCUGAAAGGAACUGAAUAUAGAUCUCUCCUGAGAGACACAUCCAGAGCAUGUCAAAUACAGAGGUCAAUGCUAGCAGCAAACCACUGAACUGAGAACAGGACCUCCUUGUGGGGGAAUUAGAGGAAGGAUUGAAAGAGUUGAAGGAGCUUGCAACCCCAUAAGAACAACAAUGCCAACCAACCAGAGCUUCCAGGGACCAAUCCACUACUGAAAGACUAUACAUGUACUGACCCAGGGCUCCAACUGCAUAUGUAGCAGAGAAUAGCCUUGUUGGGGCACCAGUAGAAGGGGAAGCCCUUGGUCCUGCCAAGGUUGGACCUCCAGUGCAGGGGAAUAUGGGGAGGGCAGUAAGGGGGAUGGAUGGGGAGAAUACCCAUAUGGGGGAGGGGAUGGGAAUAGGGGCAGGGAUGGGAAUGGGGGCUUAUGGACAGGAAGCUGCGAAAGGGAAUAGCAAAUGUUCAUAAAAAUAAUUCUCCCUGCACAUUUACAGGUUGUUAUGAAUAUUCUUAAGGGAUGGAUGUGUUCAGAGUUUUGUUUGUCUAGAUGAGCAAAUUAUAUCUUAUCAAUUGGA